UAGCCUUGACAUACUACAGAAUUUGACAGAGAUGUUGAAGUGCCUUCGGGAGCUGUAAUACAGGUGCUGCACGGCUGUCGUCAGCUCGUGUCGUGAGAUGUUGGGUUAAGUCCCGCAACGAGCGCAACCCUCGUCCUUAGUUACUAACGGUUCGGCCGAGGACUCUAAGGAGACUGCCUUCGUAAGGAGGAGGAAGGUGAGGACGACGUCAAGUCAUCAUGGCCCUUACGGCUAGGGCAACACACGUGCUACAAUGGUUAGGACAAUGAGAAGCGAUACCGCGAGGUGGAGCAAAUCUAUAAACCUAAUCUCAGUUCGGAUAGCAGUCUGCAACUCGACUGCUUGAAGCUGGAAUCACUAGUAAUCGUAAAUCAGCUAUGUUACGGUGAAUACGUUCCACGGGUCU
rnacentral:rRNA from 1 species